GUUCCCACAUCUAAAGUAAUUCUUAUGGUUGACUUCUAACAUCCAUAAUAAAAAGUAUCAAUUUUUAAUCUGUUCACACCUUGCUACUUUUAAGAAGUCAUACGACUUAAUAUAUGAUUAUUGGUUGUUUAUGCUGGAGCCUUUUACAUCCUCGAUUAGUAAAAUUUUGAGCCACCUUGACUGAAAGUUUAGUUGUAUGUAUAUUUGUAUAUAUAUUUGUUGUAUCAUAUCAUCUGUUAGAAAAUGAAAAGAAGCUUUCAUUCUGAAUAUCAAUAUUAUCAAAAUAUUGUUCAAAAUGCUUGAAGAUUAGAGGAAAUUGCAAAAAUACUUUUGUCCCUGUGCUUAUGGAAAUACAUGAACAGUUAAACUAAAAAGCUUAAGCACCAAUAAGCUUAGUUUUCCACAUCUUCAUCAUCAAACGUUUUCAUUUAGCUUCGUGAUCCACGUGUUUGUUAGUCAAAAUUGAGCUCUUUACUUUACAUUCUCAUACAAGCAUUUUCAGUGUUGGGGUCAGAUGUGAUCUAUAGUGAAGGAGCUGUUGCGGACCUGUUGGACACACUUCGAGAACUAUGUGGAAGUCAAACAACCAUCUUUUUGGCUGGAGAACUUCGAAAUGAUGCUAUCCUUGAAUACUUUUUAGAAGCUGCAUUGAAGGAUUUUGUGAUUGGACGUGUUGCUCAAUCACAUUGGCAUCCAGACUAUCGCAGCAGUCGAGUUGUGCUGUAUGUCCUAGUGAAGAAGUGAGAUAACUGACGUUGCUGAUUCCUUCUUUUUCAAUCUUUGUCUGUCAUUAUACUGAAAACUACGUGUCUAUGUCAUAUGUCUAUUUUAUGAGUAUUAGAUAAUAUAGGGAUAACUAGGAAGAUUAUUACAAAUUAUGUUUCGUAUCUCCAUACAGAAUGGUGACUGCUUAACAAAUAUUGUGCUUUUCUAAAGAUACACUUCUAGGCAACAUCAUAUAUACCCCAUCCAUACCCAUUCUAGUAACCAUGAACAAUGUUGGAUA